GAUGAACGCUGGCGGCGUGCCUAAUACAUGCAAGUCGAGCGAACGGACGAGAAGCUUGCUUCUCUGAUGUUAGCGGCGGACGGGUGAGUAACACGUGGAUAACCUACCUAUAAGACUGGGAUAACUUCGGGAAACCGGAGCUAGUACCGGAUAAUAUUUUGAACCGCAUGGUUCAAAAGUGAAAGACGGUCUUGCUGUCACUUAUAGAUGGAUCCGCGCUGCAUUAGCUAGUUGGUAAGGUAACGGCUUACCAAGGCAACGAUGCAUAGCCGACCUGAGAGGGUGACGGGCCCCACAGGGACUGAAACACGGUCCAGACUCCUAGGGAGGGCCGAGAGAGGGAAUCUUCCGAAAAGGGGGGAAGCCUGCGGGAGCACCGCCGGGGGAGUGAAGAAGGUCUGCGGAUCGUAAAACUCUUUUAUUAGGGAAAAACAUAUUUGUAAGUAACUGUGCACAUCUGGGCGGAACCUAUACAGAAAGCCCGGGCAAAUAACGG
rnacentral:rRNA from 1 species